rnacentral:rRNA from 1 species
GACGAACGCUGGCGGCGUGCCUAACACAUGCAAGUGGAGCGACGAACCGGGCUUCGGCCCGGGGCCAAGCCGCGAACGGGUGAGUAACACGUGGGUAACCUGCCCUGAUGAUUGGGACAACCCGAGGAAACUCGGGCUAAUACCGAAUGUGCCCUCCGACCAUAAGGUCUGCGGGGAAAGAAGCUUCGGCCUCCGCAUCGGGAUGGGCCCGCGGCGCAUUAGCUUGUUGGUGAGGUAACGGCUCACCAAGGCGACGAUGCGUAGCUGGUCUGAGAGGACGAUCAGCCACACUGGGACUGAGACACGGCCCAGACUCCUACGGGAGGCAGCAGUGGGGAAUCUUGCGCAAUGCGCGAAAGCGUGACGCAGCAACGCCGCGUGGGGAAGACGGCCUCGG